rnacentral:rRNA from 1 species
GGGGGAAUAUUGGACAAUGGGCGCAAGCCUGAUCCAGCCAUGCUGCGUGUGUGAAGAAGGCCUUAUGGUUGUAAAGCACUUUAAGCGAGGAGGAGGCUACUUUAGAUAAUACCUAGAGAUAGUGGACGUUACUCGCAGAAUAAGCACCGGCUAACUCUGCGCCAG